rnacentral:rRNA from 1 species
CCUACGGGGGGCAGCAGUAGGGAAUAUUGGACAAUGGGCGCAAGCCUGAUCCAGCCAUGCCGCGUGAGUGAAGAAGGCCCUCGGGUUGUAAAGCUCUUUUGUCCGGAAAGAAAAGCAAUCGGUUAAUACCCGGUUGUUCUGACGGUACCGGAAGAAUAAGCACCGGCUAACUUCGUGCCAGCAGCCGCGGUAAUACGAAGGGUGCAUGCGUUACGUGGAAUUAGCGGGCGUGAUGCGUGCGUUCGUGUUUGAAAGCCCUGGGCUCAACCUGGGAAUGGCAUUGGAUACUGGCGGGCUAGAGUGCGGUAGAGGGUAGUGGAAUUCCCGGUGUAGCAGUGAAAUGCGUAGAGAUCGGGAGGAACAUCUGUGGCGAAGGCGACUGCCUGGACCAGCACUGACACUGAGGCACGAAAGCGUGGGGAGCAAACAGGAUUAGAUACCCGUGUAGUC